rnacentral:rRNA from 1 species
GUCCACACAGUAAACGAUGAAUACUCGCUGUUUGUGAUAUACAGUAAGCGGCCAAGCGAAAGCAUUAAGUAUUCCACCUGGGGAGUACGCCGGCAACGGUGAAACUCAAAGGAAUUGACGGGGGCCCGCACAAGCGGAGGAACAUGUGGUUUAAUUCGAUGAUACGCGAGGAACCUUACCCGGGCUUAAAUUGCAAAAUGAAUAUGCCGGAAACGGCAUAGCCGCAAGGCAUUUGUGAAGGUGCUGCAUGGUUGUCGU